UUCCAAGUCCAAGCGGGACAGAUGGGAGCUUGCUCCCUGAUGUUAGCGGCGGACGGGUGAGUAACACGUGGGUAACCUGCCUGUAAGACUGGGAUAACUCCGGGAAACCGGGGCUAAUACCGGAUGCUUGUUUGAACCGCAUGGUUCAAACAUAAAAGGUGGCUUCGGCUACCACUUACAGAUGGACCCGCGGCGCAUUAGCUAGUUGGUGAGGUAACGGCUCACCAAGGCAACGAUGCGUAGCCGACCUGAGAGGGUGAUCGGCCACACUGGGACUGAGACACGGCCCAGACUCCUACGGGAGGCAGCAGUAGGGAAUCUUCCGCAAUGGACGAAAGUCUGACGGAGCAACGCCGCGUGAGUGAUGAAGGUUUUCGGAUCGUAAAGCUCUGUUGUUAGGGAAGAACAAGUACCGUUCGAAUAGGGCGGUACCUUGACGGUACCUAACCAGAAAGCCACGGCUAACUACGUGCCAGCAGCCGCGGUAAUACGUAGGUGGCAAGCGUUGUCCGGAAUUAUUGGGCGUAAAGGGCUCGCAGGCGGUUUCUUAAGUCUGAUGUGAAAGCCCCCGGCUCAACCGGGGAGGGUCAUUGGAAACUGGGGAACUUGAGUGCAGAAGAGGAGAGUGGAAUUCCACGUGUAGCGGUGAAAUGCGUAGAGAUGUGGAGGAACACCAGUGGCGAAGGCGACUCUCUGGUCUGUAACUGACGCUGAGGAGCGAAAGCGUGGGGAGCGAACAGGAUUAGAUACCCUGGUAGUCCACGCCGUAUACGAUGAGUGCUAAGUGUUAGGGGGUUUCCGCCCCUUAGUGCUGCAGCUAACGCAUUAAGCACUCCGCCUGGGGAGUACGGUCGCAAGACUGAAACUCAAAGGAAUUGACGGGGGCGCCCAANNGGUGGAGCAUGUGGUUUAAUUUUGAAGCAACCCAAAAAACCUA
rnacentral:rRNA from 1 species